rnacentral:rRNA from 1 species
GUGGGGAAUAUUGGUCAAUGGGGGAAACCCUGAACCAGCAACGCCGCGUGAAGGAAGAAGGCUUUCGGGUUGUAAACUUCUUUGACAGGGGACGAAACAAAUGACGGUACCCUGAAAACAAGCCACGGCUAACUACGUGCCAGCAGCCGCGGUAAUACGUAGGUGGCAAGCGUUAUCCGGAUUUACUGGGUGUAAAGGGCGUGUAGGCGGGACUGCAAGUCAGAUGUGAAAACUAUGGGCUCAACCCAUAGCCUGCAUUUGAAACUGUGGUUCUUGAGUGAUGGAGAGGCAAACGGAAUUCCGUGUGUAGCGGUGAAAUGCGUAGAUAUACGGAGGAACACCAGUGGCGAAGGCGGUUUGCUGGACAUUAACUGACGCUGAGGCGCGAAAGCGUGGGGAGCAAACAGGAUUAGAUACCCCUGUAGUCC